UCGANCGAAGUAGCAAUACUUAGUGGCAGACGGGUGAGUAACAUGUANGUAUCUACCCUUUGGCCUGGAAUAACACGAGGAAACUUGUGCUAAUACUGGAUAAGUCUUUACGGAGAAAGCUUUAUGCACCAUUGGAUGAGCCCGCACUUGAUUAGUUUGUUGGUGGGGUAAUGGCCUACCAAGACUUUGAUCAAUAGCUGAUUUGAGAGGAUGAUCAGCCACAUUGGGACUGAGACACGGCCCAAACUCCUACGGGAGGCAGCAGUGGGGAAUCUUGCACAAUGGAGGAAACUCUGAUGCAGCGAUGCCGCGUGAGUGAAGAAGGCCUUUGGGUUGUAAAGCUCUUUCGUCGGGGAAGAAAAUGACUGUACCCGAAUAAGAAGGUCCGGCUAACUUCGUGCCAGCAGCCGCGGUAAUACGAAGGGACCUAGCGUAGUUCGGAAUUACUGGGCUUAAAGAGUUCGUAGGUGGUUGAAAAAGUUGGUGGUGAAAUCCCAGAGCUUAACUCUGGAACUGCCAUCAAAACUUUUCAGCUAGAGUUUGAUAGAGGAAAGCAGAAUUUCUAGUGUAGAGGUGAAAUUCGUAGAUAUUAGAAAGAAUACCAAUUGCGAAGGCAGCUUUCUGGAUCAUUACUGACACUGAGGAACGAAAGCAUGGGUAGCGAAGAGGAUUAGAUACCCUCGUAGUCCAUGCCGUAAACGAUGUGUGUUAGACGUUGGAAAUUUAUUUUCAGUGUCGCAGCGAAAGCAAUAAACACACCGCCNGGGGAGUACGACCGCANGGUUAAAACUCAAAUGAAUUGACGGGGACCCGCACAAGUAGUGGAGCAUGUGGUUUAAUUCGAAGANACGCGCANAACCCUACCAACACUUGACAUGUUNGUCGCGAC
rnacentral:rRNA from 1 species